rnacentral:lncRNA from 1 species
GAGGCUUGCAACCAUCACUUGUGUCUUGAGCAGUUAAAAGAUAGAACGGUCUAAUCAAGCACCAUGUCUCUUGUUCUUCGAUUAACUAUAGCUCUGGAGUUUUUGCAGAUUUUCAAAUAAAACUCAGAGAUUCCUUUUAUGACUCUCUCUAGUCUCUCUUUUGUGGUAUUUCUGGACCCUUACCAUGACAGUAAUGGUGUAUGGCUUCUCUCAAAGUAUGUGGUAUUUUUAGUAUGAGGCAUAAUGGCAUUGCCUUCUCUAUCACCCUACUAUAAUAAGGUUUUGAUAUCUGGAGCUCAUAGGUGGGAGACAGCUAAUACAUACUUACAAGACAUUUAUUGCAUAGUCAAACUAUGGAUCCAGAGAAACAAGUCAAUAAGUCAAAUCAAGAUGUGCAUGUGUGGCGAAUGAAUGAUGUAUGGUGAUGAUGGUGAUAACAAUGGUGAAAGUCUAAUUCUACUUUUGCUCUUUUGAGAGGAUACAUACCUUCCUUGCUCUUUUGAAACUUUUGGGGAGAAUAAGAUGCUCUGUAUUUUCUUUUUCUUUCCUCUCAGGUGGGUAUCUUGUACCCCUAAUUCUACUGUCAGACACUUGUCCAUUUUUACCUCUCGUCUCACUUUUUCCUUUCUUUUGAGGUUCCGGGCACUUGCCCCUUUUUAUUUCCUCAUAUCCUUUUUUUUUUCUCUUUUUUUAGAGCACCCAUCUCCUGAAAUAAUAUAGCAAGUGGUAGUAACCAAGAUAACUUGAGCAUUUAUUUCAUAGGGGAAAAACAAAAAUAUUUUGGCUAUUCUCUCCCGGAUUAGGAGUAGAAUAUUUUUAGGUGAUUCUGGAGAUGGAAAGAGUGGAUAUAUGUGGAUGCGUACUUCCGGAGUAGAAGCAACAUGUGUUAGUGAACGUGCAAGUGAAUCUUGAUUUAACCACAUGACAAGCUCCUAAGGGUCUACACAGCUUGACCACACUCAAUGGUCAUAAGCAGUAAAAAGUAAAUGUAUGGUUCAUAGUCUAAUAAGCAUGUAUAUAUGGCUAUGGUAGGAAUUUAAACUCUCAUCAUACAGGAACUCAUCAUACAACAUUUUAAAGAUUUUCAAAGAUAAAAUUCUCCAGAAUUCUAUCAUCUCUAGGAAUAAACAGCAGCUCAACCUUCCCAUAUCGUAUCCGUUAACGACUUAGACUUUAGAUCAAGUACUCUCCCCACAAGUUCAGGUUUAGAGCAAAUCUUAAUUAAUACGAGUCAUGCCUAAACUUGAGAGAGAUUUCAAUUUUGAGAACUAGUCAUGGCAGAGCAACUAUUCAUCAUUUCCAUGUGAGAGCUUAUCAUGAGGGUUCAUAGCAAAUUUUGUUUAUUUAUUUAUUUAGCAAACUAAGCAAAGAUAUAUAUAAGUACAAAAUCUUUAUUUGGGUUUUUAUGAUUAUGCAUCUUUUUAUUAUUUGAGUAAAAUAUAAACAUGAGUAGAACACUUAGCUGGAUAAAUGGGGGUGCUCUCCCCCAAGCUGGAUUUUGACGUAAUUUCUUUUUAUGAAGCUAGCAGGUGGCGGAUUUGUAUUUGAAUGUCGGCAGCACCCUGACAGCGAUUAGGAUGUUCUCUGUCUGCUAGUCUUCUUUGAUCCUUGAAUUCAGUGUUAGCAUAAAUAUCUAGCCUUUACCAUAUUGAGCCUCCUCAAUAAAUGUUACACUCUUUGGUAGGAUCAUAAAUUUAUUUUUAUAUUUUUAUAGGAUAGGAAUAUAUUUAUUUUAUUUUUAUGCCACCACAGUGAAUGUACUUAUGGGUUUUAUCCCAUGAGCAUGCUCACAUGGGGCUUACUAUUUUUAACAUUUUUAUUUUCUUUUCGAGAUGAUAUGAACCUGAUUAUCUUAGCAAACUAUUUUAAAUAAUUGAAAGGAAAAGGAUAACUACCAAGUUUACAUCUUGGCAAGGCGUUCGGUGUUUUUAAGUCCUUCGAACGGGACUCUCCGUUUUCUCAGUCGUCCUGGGAUUCGCUGAUGGCGUAGUCGGUGGUUCCGGCGGCGCCUGGUCUUCAUGUAUAACUAACUUCUCUCUCCACACCUGACUCGGUGCUACGGUCUCCUCAGGACAGUUCUGUUCAAGUUGUAUGUCUUCAGACCUUACUACUUCUCCUUCGUAGUCUGCCCAUCCAUCCUUGAUGAUUUGCCUCCUCUGGUUGCGGUUGCGUCAUCUUCUUCUUGUCCUGACCUGCUUAGAGUCUUCAACUAUAUAGUUAGGGUCAAUAGAAUAGCGGCGUACCUUCUCAGAGGGGAAGUGCAUGUGGACUUCUCCGGUUCCAAUGUAAAUGAUUGCUUUAAUGGUGCUGAGGAAAUGUCUUCCAACGAUGACGAGUGGAUCGAAUUCGUCUUCUCCCAUGUCAAUAACCUUUCGGCAUGUCUGAUCUGCCAUCCGGUGUCGCAAAGUGUCUUCUGAAAGUUGUAUCCAUUAAUAGAGCACUGGAUGCUUGGCACACCUGGGUCGUCCUUUUUGAUCAAGAAAGGUGACUUGAGUUGACGAUCUUGACCUCCUUGAGCUCAAGUGACCAUCUUAGCUGACUCAGUCUACAUUUGCUUGUUCCUGUUCCCCCUGUUGAUCCUCUUCCUUGGUUCAUUUUGGGAUUGCUUUGAGAUUUGUGUAAUCUUGUUCUUGAAGGAAAACGUCUGCUUCCUCCCUUUGAUGUAGAAACUGAUCUUGGCAGCACUAGCGUGGAUGACCGCUCCCGAGGUGUUCAGGAAUGGCCUCCCCUGGGUAUAAUAUUGACACUGGAGCCAAAGUCGCAGAGUGCUUCUGGGAAGUCCACCAUGCCGAUGGAGAUCGGGAUGAUAGGGCGUCCUUGAUCGCCUCUGAGUAGUUAGGCCUCUGUUGAUUUCAACCUUGAUUUUGUUGAGAAGGAUUGUAGUAGUUGUUGUUGUUAAUGUAGUUUACGUCCUCAAGCUUCUUAGGGUAGUGAUUGCCUGAGUGUCCAAUAUCUCCAGUGUGUUUGUGCUCGUAGAUCAAGGUUCUUCACUUGGUGGAGUCUGGGAGUUGUCAAACUCCUUCAUUUUUUGCUCGAAGUGUACCUGCUCGUAGAGACAAGGCAGAGAUCAAGUGCAUGGGCCCUGUUGGUGGAAAACACCAACAGAACCAAAAAACGUUUUGUUCUUCUCUAACCUUAAGCAUAGUGAGCAAGACAAAGUUGAUGGAUAAUAAGAUCAUAAGUGUAGGAUUUAAAACAUUUGUUAGAUC